GGGGAUAGCUCAGUGGUAGAGCACAUGCUUAGCAUGCAGAAGGUCCUGGGUUCAAUCCCCAGGACCCCCU
rnacentral:tRNA from 1 species